AUUGAACGCUGGCGGCAUGCCUUACACAUGCAAGUCGAACGGUAACGGGCCUUCGGGUGCCGACGAGUGGCGAACGGGUGAGUAAUGCAUCGGAACGUACCUUUCAGUGGGGGAUAACGUAGCGAAAGUUACGCUAAUACCGCAUAUUCUGUGAGCAGGAAAGCAGGGGAUCGCAAGACCUUGCGCUGAUUGAGCGGCCGAUGUCAGAUUAGCUAGUUGGUGAGGUAAAGGCUCACCAAGGCGACGAUCUGUAGCGGGUCUGAGAGGAUGAUCCGCCACACUGGAACUGAGACACGGUCCAGACUCCUACGGGAGGCAGCAGUGGGGAAUUUUGGACAAUGGGCGCAAGCCUGAUCCAGCCAUGCCGCGUGAGUGAAGAAGGCC
rnacentral:rRNA from 1 species